UUGCCAGCCCGCUAGGGGGAGCCAAUCCCAUAAAGCCGGUCGUAGUCCGGAUCGCAGUCUGCAACUCGACUGCGUGAAGUCGGAAUCGCUAGUAAUCGUGGAUCAGCAUGUCACGGUGAAUACGUUCCCGGGUCUU
rnacentral:rRNA from 1 species